rnacentral:rRNA from 1 species
GUUAUAACCGGCGAUUUCCGAAUGGGGAAACCCAGUGUGUUUCGACACACUAUCAUUAACUGAAUCCAUAGGUUAAUGAGGCGAACCGGGGGAACUGAAACAUCUAAGUACCCCGAGGAAAAGAAAUCAACCGAGAUUCCCCCAGUAGCGGCGAGCGAACGGGGAGGAGCCCAGAGCCUGAAUCAGUGUGUGUGUUAGUGGAAGCGUCUGGAAAGGCGCGCGAUACAGGGUGACAGCCCCGUACACAAAAAUGCACAUAUUGUGAGCUCGAUGAGUAGGGCGGGACACGUGGUAUCCUGUCUGAAUAUGGGGGGACCAUCCUCCAAGGCUAAAUACUCCUGACUGACCGAUAGUGAACCAGUACCGUGAGGGAAAGGCGAAAAGAACCCCGGCGAGGGGAGUGAAAAAGAACCUGAAACCGUGUACGUACAAGCAGUGGGAGCCUCUUUAUGGGGUGACUGCGUACCUUUUGUAUAAUGGGUCAGCGACUUAUAUUCUGUAGCAAGGUUAACCGAAUAGGGGAGCCGAAGGGAAACCGAGUCUUAACUGGGCGUUAAGUUGCAGGGUAUAGACCCGAAACCCGGUGAUCUAGCCAUGGGCAGGUUGAAGGUUGGGUAACACUAACUGGAGGACCGAACCGACUAAUGUUGAAAAAUUAGCGGAUGACUUGUGGCUGGGGGUGAAAGGCCAAUCAAACCGGGAGAUAGCUGGUUCUCCCCGAAAGCUAUUUAGGUAGCGCCUCGUGAAUUCAUCUCCGGGGGUAGAGCACUGUUUCGGCAAGGGGGUCAUCCCGACUUACCAACCCGAUGCAAACUGCGAAUACCGGAGAAUGUUAUCACGGGAGACACACGGCGGGUGCUAACGUCCGUCGUGAAGAGGGAAACAACCCAGACCGCCAGCUAAGGUCCCAAAGUCAUGGUUAAGUGGGAAACGAUGUGGGAAGGCCCAGACAGCCAGGAUGUUGGCUUAGAAGCAGCCAUCAUUUAAAGAAAGCGUAAUAGCUCACUGGUCGAGUCGGCCUGCGCGGAAGAUGUAACGGGGCUAAACCAUGCACCGAAGCUGCGGCAGCGACACUAUGUGUUGUUGGGUAGGGGAGCGUUCUGUAAGCCUGUGAAGGUGGCCUGUGAGGGUUGCUGGAGGUAUCAGAAGUGCGAAUGCUGACAUAAGUAACGAUAAAGCGGGUGAAAAGCCCGCUCGCCGGAAGACCAAGGGUUCCUGUCCAACGUUAAUCGGGGCAGGGUGAGUCGACCCCUAAGGCGAGGCCGAAAGGCGUAGUCGAUGGGAAACAGGUUAAUAUUCCUGUACUUGGUGUUACUGCGAAGGGGGGACGGAGAAGGCUAUGUUGGCCGGGCGACGGUUGUCCCGGUUUAAGCGUGUAGGCUGGUUUUCCAGGCAAAUCCGGAAAACCAAGGCUGAGGCGUGAUGACGAGGCACUACGGUGCUGAAGCGACAAAUGCCCUGCUUCCAGGAAAAGCCUCUAAGCAUCAGGUAACAUCAAAUCGUACCCCAAACCGACACAGGUGGUCAGGUAGAGAAUACCAAGGCGCUUGAGAGAACUCGGGUGAAGGAACUAGGCAAAAUGGUGCCGUAACUUCGGGAGAAGGCACGCUGAUAUGUAGGUGAAGCGACUUGCUCGUGGAGCUGAAAUCAGUCGAAGAUACCAGCUGGCUGCAACUGUUUAUUAAAAACACAGCACUGUGCAAACACGAAAGUGGACGUAUACGGUGUGACGCCUGCCCGGUGCCGGAAGGUUAAUUGAUGGGGUUAGCGGUAACGCGAAGCUCUUGAUCGAAGCCCCGGUAAACGGCGGCCGUAACUAUAACGGUCCUAAGGUAGCGAAAUUCCUUGUCGGGUAAGUUCCGACCUGCACGAAUGGCGUAAUGAUGGCCAGGCUGUCUCCACCCGAGACUCAGUGAAAUUGAACUCGCUGUGAAGAUGCAGUGUACCCGCGGCAAGACGGAAAGACCCCGUGAACCUUUACUAUAGCUUGACACUGAACAUUGAGCCUUGAUGUGUAGGAUAGGUGGGAGGCUUUGAAGUGUGGACGCCAGUCUGCAUGGAGCCGACCUUGAAAUACCACCCUUUAAUGUUUGAUGUUCUAACGUUGGCCCGUAAUCCGGGUUGCGGACAGUGUCUGGUGGGUAGUUUGACUGGGGCGGUCUCCUCCUAAAGAGUAACGGAGGAGCACGAAGGUUGGCUAAUCCUGGUCGGACAUCAGGAGGUUAGUGCAAUGGCAUAAGCCAGCUUGACUGCGAGCGUGACGGCGCGAGCAGGUGCGAAAGCAGGUCAUAGUGAUCCGGUGGUUCUGAAUGGAAGGGCCAUCGCUCAACGGAUAAAAGGUACUCCGGGGAUAACAGGCUGAUACCGCCCAAGAGUUCAUAUCGACGGCGGUGUUUGGCACCUCGAUGUCGGCUCAUCACAUCCUGGGGCUGAAGUAGGUCCCAAGGGUAUGGCUGUUCGCCAUUUAAAGUGGUACGCGAGCUGGGUUUAGAACGUCGUGAGACAGUUCGGUCCCUAUCUGCCGUGGGCGCUGGAGAACUGAGGGGGGCUGCUCCUAGUACGAGAGGACCGGAGUGGACGCAUCACUGGUGUUCGGGUUGUCAUGCCAAUGGCACUGCCCGGUAGCUAAAUGCGGAAGAGAUAAGUGCUGAAAGCAUCUAAGCACGAAACUUGCCCCGAGAUGAGUUCUCCCUGACUCCUUGAGAGUCCUGAAGGAACGUUGAAGACGACGACGUUGAUAGGCCGGGUGUGUAAGCGCAGCGAUGCGUUGAGCUAACCGGUACUAAUGAACCGUGAGGCUUAACCUUACAACGCCGAAG